rnacentral:tRNA from 1 species
GAGCUCGUGGCUCAAUGGUAGAGCGUUCGACUCAAAUACCAAAGGUCGCGGGUUUGAA